AAAUUUAUUUUCUGUUCUUAUCAGUUUAAUAUCUGAUACGUCUCCUACCCGGGGACUGCAAAUUAAAUGGAUUUUUGGAUCACGGAGCUGGAGCCAGGGCUUGCUCCGUCCACUCCACGCAUUGGCCUGGUAUUGCAGUGUCUCCAGUAAUGGUGU
ensembl:snRNA U2 U2 spliceosomal RNA